UAUAUAUAGUAAUAUGUAUAAUGUUUAAUGUUCAUAUACUUAUGUUCUUAUCGUAAUUAUAUUUUCUAUCUAUCCGCCGAAUUUCAUGAAAACCAACGUAACAUAUUCAUGAAAACGUUCCUCUGAAAAAGAUCCUCUGAUAUUGUAUUUCGCAUGCGCGGAAGUUUGGACCCGCUACGACAACGAUUGCGAUAUGUAUUGUGUGCAAUUAUAUUACUGUUUUCAUAAAUAGACGUUAUCUGCAUAUAUUACAAAGCGAACCCAAAAAUAUUGAGUUAAAGUGAUCAUCAAAAGUGCUUCUCAGUUGUAAGGAGUUAACAGAGUUGUCAACAGAGCAAGCAAGAAGAGAAAUUACAAAGAAAGUACAAGUUAACAGAAUAAAGAAAAGUAAGUAUUUCUUUUCAUGUUUAUACUGAUAUAUAAAAAUGAAAGGUCGAGUGAAACCAUUUGAUAAACUGUCAAGGUGGCAAAAAAAUAGAUGUUUAAAUAAAAAUAUUGAAGACUUUGGUUUGUUGUGAAAGUAUGAUAUUGAAGAAGAUAAUAGUAUAAAUUUAAAUAUUAUAAAAAAAGCAGAAAAUGUUGGAAAAUAUCAAGUAGAGGAACUUUUUAUUGAAUCACGUUUAAGCAGUUCAAGUAUGUCUAAUGAGUUAGAAGAAAAAACUGAUAAUAGUGAAGACACAGCGGACAAUGAUGACAAUGAUGAUAAUAUUACAGAUAGAACUAGUGUCGAAUAUAAUGAGACAACAUUCUUAUCAGAAAUACAAUUGUGGGCUGUAAAAAAUAAUAUUUCUCAUAUUGCGUUGUCUCAAUUGUUAAAAAUAUAUAAAAAAUACCAUCCAAAUAAAGAAACUCCAAGUGAUGCU